rnacentral:misc_RNA from 1 species
GCCAUUAGGCUUGGUGUUGGGGCUUUCUACAAUACGUAGGCCCUGAAAGCCAGCGGCGGGCUCGCUGAGACUCCGAGCGUAGUAAAUCAUAGAAAUAUACUUUCCUCGCUUAGGGUGUCCAGUGGGUAGCACUUGCCGUAAAACCCCCAAUUUUACAGAAGGUUGACCUCGGAUCAGGUAGGAAUACCCGCUGAACUUAA